UGUGGUAGUUGUACUUAGUUUAGUUUUAUAUUUUUAUAUUGCCAUUCACAUUCAUUCACUUCAAUACAUAUUGCGCUGCGCUACUUACUAACUUUGUGUUGUGUGUUAAAGAAACCUAAACACCCCUUUUAAAUAUAAUGGUUUAAUCCGUAAGGGUCCAGUUAGAACAUAACUCGGAUUAGUGCAUGUAUCUCUUAGGUGUCAUACUUGUUCUGUCAUCUGAUUGGUCUUAGUAUUUUGUUCUAGCCAAUAGGAAUUCCUGGCGGGAAUUCCUGAGUUCUUUUUAUGAAAUAGUUCAGGAAAAUCUAGUUUUGAAAGAGAUUCCAAAGGGUGUUACCACUAUUGAGUUCUAAAUAAGCAUAAAAUAUAUAUUUAAUUUAUAGAGGAUUUGCUAACACCAACAACUGUAAGUAGCUGAUAGUUUUACUAUAUGAUUAAAAGCAAGUAAUGAAUUUAAAUAAGUAAUUAAACUUUUCUUUAUUCAUAAAACUUGUGUGCAAGUCAUGAGUGAAAGAUUUACUGAAAGUAGAAUUGUGGGAAAACAUAAUUUCUGUUCUUUAAGUAAAUAAUGAGUUUUAAGUAAUAUAAAUGCGCAGAGUGAUAUAUGUGUACAGAAUUUAGUAUUUUAGUAAAUUAUUCAAUAGGUCAUCAUAAGAGUUUUAAGCAGUUCACCUUGAUUUCGGAAGCUGUAGCUCAGUUCCAUAAACUGGGUUUGUUUUCAUUGUUUCCAAAAAGUAAACGAAUCUACGACCUUAA